UACGUAGGGUGCGAGCGUUAAUCGGAAUUACUGGGCGUAAAGCGUGCGCAGGCGGUUUGUCGCGUCUGCUGUGAAAACCUAAGGCUCAACCUUGGGCUUGCAGUGGGUACGGGCAGACUAGAGUGCGGUAGGGGUGACUGGAAUUCCCGGUGUAGCGGUGAAAUGCGCAGAUAUCGGGAGGAACACCGGUGGCGAAGGCGGUUCUCUGGGCCUGACCUGACGCUGAGGAGCGAAAGCGUGGGGAGCGAACAGG
rnacentral:rRNA from 1 species